rnacentral:rRNA from 1 species
GAGUUUGAUCGUGGCUCAGAACGAACGCUGGCGGCAUGCCUAACACAUGCAAGUCGAACGAGAUCUUCGGAUCUAGUGGCGCACGGGUGCGUAACGCGUGGGAAUCUGCCCUUGGGUGCGGAAUAACUUCUCGAAAGGGAUGCUAAUACCGCAUAAUGUCGUAAGACCAAAGAUUUAUCGCCCAAGGAUGAGCCCGCGUAAGAUUAGCUAGUUGGUGGGGUAAAAGCCUACCAAGGCGACGAUCUUUAGCUGGUCUGAGAGGAUGAUCAGCCACACUGGGACUGAGACACGGCCCAGACUCCUACGGGAGGCAGCAGUGGGGAAUAUUGGACAAUGGGCGAAAGCCUGAUCCAGCAAUGCCGCGUGAGUGAUGAAGGCCCUAGGGUUGUAAAGCUCUUUUACCCGGGAUGAUAAUGACAGUACCGGAGAUAAGCUCCGGCUAACUCCGUGCAGCCGCCGCAGU